rnacentral:misc_RNA from 1 species
UGAGUCAGCUUUGCCUGAUUUUGCAG